rnacentral:rRNA from 1 species
UACAGAGGGUGCAAGCGUUGUUCGGAAUUAUUGGGCGUAAAGGGCGUGUAGGCGGUGCGGUAAGUCUCUAGUGAAAUCUCCGGGCUCAACUCGGAGCCUGCUAGGGAAACUGCCGUGCUCGAGUGUGGGAGAGGUGAGUGGAAUUCCCGGUGUAGCGGUGAAAUGCGUAGGUAUCGGGAAGAACACCAAUGGCGAAGGCAGCUAGCUAGGCAAGUUCUGACACUGAGGCGCGAAAGCGUGGGGAGCGAACAGG